rnacentral:rRNA from 1 species
GCGGCCAGACUCCGGUUGAUCCUGCCGGACCGGACUGCUAUCGGGGUAGGGCUAAGCCAUGCAAGUCGCACGCCCGGGGGCAUGGCCGGGCGUGGCGGACGGCUCAGUAACGCGUGGCUAACCUACCCUCGGGAGGGGGAUAACCCCGGGAAACUGGGGCUAAUCCCCCAUAGGCGCGGACAC